GACGAACGCUGGCGGCGUGCUUAACACAUGCAAGUCGAACGGAAAGGCCUGCAGCUUGCUGCGGGUACUCGAGUGGCGAACGGGUGAGUAACACGUGGGUGAUCUGCCUUGCACUUCGGGAUAAGCUUGGGAAACUGGGUCUAAUACCGGAUAGGACAGCUGUUUAGUGUCAGUUGUGGAAAGUUUUUUCGGUGCAAGAUGAGCUCGCGGCCUAUCAGCUUGUUGGUGGGGUAAUGGCCUACCAAGGCGUCGACGGGUAGCCGGCCUGAGAGGGUGUACGGCCACAUUGGGACUGAGAUACGGCCAGACUCCUACGGGAGGCAGCAGUGGGGAAUAUUGCACAAUGGGCGGAAGCCUGAUGCAGCGACGCCGCGUGGGGGAUGAAGGCCUUCGGGUUGUAAACUCCUUUCGACAGGGACGAAGCGUAAGUGACGGUACCUGUAUAAGAAGCACCGGCUAACUACGUGCCAGCAGCCGCGGUAAUACGUAGGGUGCGAGCGUUGUCCGGAAUUACUGGGCGUAAAGAGCUCGUAGGUGGUUUGUCGCGUCGUCUGUGAAAUUCCGGGGCUUAACUCCGGGCGUGCAGGCGAUACGGGCUGACUUGAGUGCUGUAGGGGAGACUGGAAUUCCUGGUGUAGCGGUGAAAUGCGCAGAUAUCAGGAGGAACACCGAUGGCGAAGGCAGGUCUCUGGGCAGUAACUGACGCUGAGGAGCGAAAGCAUGGGUAGCGAACAGG
rnacentral:rRNA from 1 species